rnacentral:rRNA from 1 species
CCUACGGGAGGCAGCAGUAGGGAAUAUUGCUCAAUGGGGGAAACCCUGAAGCAGCAACGCCGCGUGGAGGAUGAAGGUUUUCGGAUUGUAAACUCCUUGUGUUAGAGAAGAGAAUGACGGUAGCUAACGAAUAAGCAACGGCUAACACCGUGCCAGCAGCCGCGGUAAUACGGAGGGGGCAAGCGUUACGCGGAAUCACUGGGCGUAAAGAGCGCGUAGGCGGGAUAGCACGUCCGAUGUGAACUCCUAUGGCUUAACCAUAGAUCUGCAUUUGAAACUGUUAUUCUAGAGUAUGGGAGAGGUAGGUGUACUUCUUGGUGUCGGUGUCCACUCCGUAGAGAUCAAG